UUCCGGUUGAUCCUGUGGACCUGACUGCUAUCGGAUUGAUACUAAGCCAUGCGAGUCUUUGCAGUAAUGCAAGGCAUACGGCUCAGUAACACGUAGUCAACUUACCCUAUGGACGAGGAUAAUCUCGGGAAACUGAGCAUAAUACUCGAUAGAUCAUAAUGCCUGGAAUGGUUUAUGGUUGAAAUGAUUCGUCGCCAUAGGAUGGGACUGCGGCCUAUCAGCUUGUUGGUGAGGUAAUGGCCCACCAAGGCGAUUACAGGUACGGGCUCUGAGAGGAGAAGCCCGGAGAUGGGUACUGAGACAAGGACCCAGGCCCUAUGGGGCGCAGCAGGCGAGAAAACUUUGCAAUGUGCGAAAGCACGACAAGGUUAAUCCGAGUGAUUUCUGCUAAAGAAAUCUUUUGCAAGUCAUAAAACCACUAGUGAAUAAGGGGUGGGCAAGUUCUGGUGUCAGCCGCCGCGGUAAAACCAGCACCUCAAGUGGUCAGGAGGAUUAUUGGGCCUAAAGCAUCCGUAGCCGGCUCUGUAAGUUUUCGGUUAAAUCCAUGUGCUCAACGCAUGGGCUGCCGAAAAUACUGCAUAGCUAGGGAGUGGGAGAGGUAGACGGUACUCGGUAGGAAGGGGUAAAAUCCUUUGAUCUAUCGAUGACCACCUGUGGCGAAGGCGGUCUACCAGAACACGUUCGACGGUGAGGGAUGAAAGCUGGGGGAGCAAACCGGAUUAGAUACCCGGGUAGUCCCAGCUGUAAACGAUGCAGACUCGAUGAUGCAUUGGCAUAUAGCCAGUGCAGUGUCGCAGGGAAGCCGUUAAGUCUGCCGCCUGGGAAGUACGUACGCAAGUAUGAAACUUAAAGGAAUUGGCGGGGGAGCACCACAAGGGGUGAAGCCUGCGGUUCAAUUGGAUUCAACGCCGGG
rnacentral:rRNA from 1 species